ACAGUAACAUUAGGGAACUAAAUUUGACUGAAAAAGGCAAAUGAGAAGUGAAUCUCUGUGUGUUCCAAUGUUGUUUAAAUUAACUGAGAGCAUGCAUUGUGUUGUGAUGCAGCAUUUAUUACGAACGGCAUUAACCACUGCUUCUUAAUGCAAGAUUCCACCUAACUGGCCUGUUCUGAGCCCUCAGCUGGUCCUAUGUCUUCCACGGGUAGAAUUAAGGAGCUUGUGGUACAGGUUAUUAAGGAGCUUGUGGUACAAGAUACAAAUUGCUUUCACUGAAAGGGUCGUAUGAUUGUUUUCCAAAUAGAAGGUGACAUAAAAUAGCUGGAACAUAAUCAAGCAAGUAGGAUGUGCCUUAAAAAAAAAAAAAAAAUACACAGGUGCAUACCCUCCGUGGGUUUAGGUAAUAACUUAAACUAAAGCCAUUUAAAAGAUCUUAUUUUUGAGUAGCUUGAAAAUUGAAGAGUUAAUGUAGUUAAAAUGGAUCUCCAGAUAAUCAGUGGCCUUACAGAAGCUAUUGGGAAGAUGAAUGUUUCAUUCUGUUUAAAUCAAGUUAUCGUGGUGUCAUUAGAAAUCUCAGAGGUUCAGCCUUGUGGAAGGAUUUAAAGGCAACACUUCAACAAUAAUCGGAUUAGAAGGACUUGCAUAGCUACAUGGUCUAAAAAACAGAUAAAAGAAGACAGAGUUCAAACUUGCCACAAAGAAAGGCAUUGAGCUGUGAGGUGCAGAAUCAACACACUGUUCUGAGACUUUGAUUUCGACAAUUACACAAAGUAGGGAUGCCUGCAGAUUUCAAUGGUUACUGGAAAAUGAUCAGCAAUGACAAUUUUGAGGAGUAUCUGAAAGCACUGGGUAAGCUUCCUUUCAUGUUUCUUUGAUAAAUAAUCAAUAAAUGCUACCCGUCUUAGUCUUGACAUGAACCUAUUUUUCCUUGUACAGUCAUAAAUCAUUUUUGUGAGAAAUAAUUUUUCAGGAAUACGCUGUAAGAAUUGCUCUAUGCAAAAUUGUCUUAAGCAGUCUCUACUUUUUAACAUCUUGACGGUUAAUUUUACAGUGAUUAAACUACAUAGCUGAAAGAGGUAAGUGGCAGAUUUCAAACUUCAAACCCAACCAUAACUUUAAAGUUUUAUAUGUGCUACAGAGACAAUAAAGUACUUGAUGCAAUUCUGUAUGUUUACAUUUGAUGAAAUAUGCAAAAUGCUAAUAGUUCUAUAGAAAUACUGAUACCCUCAGUAACUGUGAAAUGCAAGUGGUGUUUUUUAGGGUUCCACACAACCAGCACAUCAAGACAAACUUAUUUAAGUUAAAAGAAUUAGGCUAUGGAUUUUUCCUUUUAAGCAAGCUGACCUGAAAGAUCUGGACAUUUAUUUAUCCAUGUUCAUUUUAGUCCUCCCAAGAGCUACAUGCCAGCUUUUGUGGUAGACUUUUCUGGAUUAAAGUAACUCUUUUUCUUUUUCAGAUGUAAAUGUUGCUGUAAGAAAAAUAGCAAACUUGCUAAAACCUGACAAAGAAAUCCUUCAGAAUGGGGAUCAUAUGAUCAUUAAAACGCUAAGCACUUUUAGAAACUACAUCAUGGAAUUUGAUGUAGGGAAGGAGUUUGAGGAGGAUUUAGCUGGGGUGGAUGAUCGCAAAUGCAUGAUACUGACUUGAUGUGAUAAAAUGAGUUACAGACUGGAGAGAUGACAAACUCUGAACGUGUUUGUAGCCCUCCCGUUAGCAGUGUGCAGCAUGCCUCCACACAGAAAGUCACAGACCACAGUAUCCUGGGAGGGAGAUAAGCUUCUUUGUGUACAGAAAGGAGAAAAAGAAGAUCGUGGCUGGACUCAGUGGAUUGAAGGAGAUGAAAUGCACCUGGAAAUAAGAGUGUGUGGAGUCAAGUGUAAGCAG